AGAAUUUUAAUGGUCGAACAGACCAACCCUUAAAGACUUCUGCACCUUUGGGAUAUUCUGGUCCAACAUCGAGGUCACAAACCUUCUUUUCGAUUUGGGCUCUCAAAGAAGAUAAUGCUGUUAUCCCUACGGUAACUAUUUCCAUUAAUCAAAAUUUUUGGAUCAAUACAUGUAAGUAGUUUUAUUUUAAGGAAGCUUUUUAGGUUCCUUAGUCGCCCCAACCAAAAUUUUUAAUAGUUAUUUUUUAGCUAAUAUUAUUUUGAUCUAUUAAUUUUUUUUUAAGCUCGAUAGGGUCUUCUUGUCUUUUAAUUUUAUUCAAACCUCUUCAUCUGAAAGUAAAGUUCUAUUAAAUGUGAAAGAGACAGCUUUGCUCUUGUGAAACCAUUCAUUCCAGUCCUCAAUUAUAGAACAAAUUAUUAUGCUACCUUAGCACAGUUAAUAUACUGCGGCCGUUAAAAAAAAUCACCGGGCAGGUUGGACUCUCCAUGUAAAAAUGUCAAAGAGCC
rnacentral:rRNA from 1 species